CAGCAGCCGCGGUAAUACGAAGGGGGCUAGCGUUGUUCGGAUUUACUGGGCGUAAAGCGCACGUAGGCGGACUUUUAAGUCAGGGGUGAAAUCCCGGGGCUCAACCCCGGAACUGCCUUUGAUACUGGAAGUCUUGAGUAUGGUAGAGGUGAGUGGAAUUCCGAGUGUAGAGGUGAAAUUCGUAGAUAUUCGGAGGAACACCAGUGGCGAAAGCGGCUCACUGGACCAUUUCUGACGCUGAUGCACGAAAGCUAGGGGAGCAAACAGGAUUAGAUACCCCAGUAGUCCCUGUCUCUUAUAC
rnacentral:rRNA from 1 species